rnacentral:rRNA from 1 species
AAGGGAACCUGACGCAGCGACGCCGCGUGGAUGAUGAAGGCCUUCGGGUCGUAAACUCCUGUCAGGAGGAAAGAAGUGUAUUAGCGUUAAUACCCGUAGUACUUGACGGUACCACCGAAGGAAGCACCGGCUAACUCCGUGCCAGCAGCCGCGGUAAUACGGAGGGUGCAAGCGUUGUUCGGAUUUACUGGGCGUAAAGCGCGCGUAGGCGGCUAUGUAAGUCUGAUGUGAAAGCUCACGGCUCACCUGUGGAAGUGCAUUUGAAACUGUCAGACUUGAGUACGGGAGAGGGUGGUGGAAUUCCUAGUGUAGAGGUGAAACUCGUAGAUAUCAGGAGGAACACCGGUGGCGAAGGCGCCACCUGGCCCAGAUACUGACGCUGAGCUGCGAAAGCGUGGGGAGCAAACAGGAUUAGAUACCCUGGUAG